CUCCCAGGCGUCGAGCGGCGGACGGGUGAGUAAUGCAUAGGAAACUGCCCAGUAGUGGGGGAUAGCCCGGGGAAACCCGGAUUAAUACCGCAUACGUCCUUCGGGAGAAAGCAGGGGCUCUUCGGACCUUGCGCUAUUGGAUGUGCCUAUGUCGGAUUAGCUUGUUGGUGGGGUAAUGGCCUACCAAGGCAACGAUCCGUAGCUGGUCUGAGAGGAUGAUCAGCCACAUCGGGACUGAGACACGGCCCGAACUCCUACGGGAGGCAGCAGUGGGGAAUAUUGGACAAUGGGGGCAACCCUGAUCCAGCCAUGCCGCGUGUGUGAAGAAGGCUUUCGGGUUGUAAAGCACUUUCAGCAGGGAGGAAAAGCUUAAGGUUAAUACCCUUGAGUGUUGACGUCACCUGCAGAAGAAGCACCGGCUAACUCCGUGCCAGCAGCCGCGGUAAUACGGAGGGUGCAAGCGUUAAUCGGAAUUACUGGGCGUAAAGCGCGCGUAGGCGGUUAGAUAAGCGAGGUGUGAAAGCCCCGGGCUCAACCUGGGAACGGCACUUCGAACUGUCUGGCUAGAGUAUGGUAGAGGGUAGUGGAAUUUCCUGUGUAGCGGUGAAAUGCGUAGAUAUAGGAAGGAACACCAGUGGCGAAGGCGGCUACCUGGACCAAUACUGACGCUGAGGUGCGAAAGCGUGGGGAGCAAACAGGAUUAGAUACCCUGGUAGUCCACGCCGUAAACGAUGUCGACUAGCCGUUGGAGAUCUUGAAUCUUUAGUGGCGCAGUUAACGCACUAAGUCGACCGCCUGGGGGAGUACGGCCGCAAGGUUAAAACUCAAAUGAAUUGACGGGGGCCCGCACAAGCGGUGGAGCAUGGUGGUUUAAUUCGACGCAACGCGAAGAACCUUACCUGGCCUUGACAUGUUGGGGAACUUUCCAAAAAUGGAUUGGUGCCUUCGGGAACCCAAACACAGGUGCUGCAUGGCCGUCGUCAGCUCGUGUCGUGGAAAUGUUGGGGUUAAGUCCCGUAACGAGCGCAACCCCUAUCCCUAGUUGCCAGCACAUUAUGGUGGGAACUCUAGGGAGACUGCCGGUGACAAACCGGAGGAAAGGUGGGGGAUGAACGUCAGGUCAUCAUGGCCCUUUACGGCCAGGGCUAACAACGUGGCUACAAUGGGCCGCCCAAAAGGGGCCGGAAACCCCCCAAGGGGGAACCAAUUCCUUUAAAACCGG
rnacentral:rRNA from 1 species